UACGUAGGUGGCAAGCGUUGUCCGGAUUUAUUGGGUUUAAAGGGUGCGUAGGCGGCUUUUUAAGUCAGUGGUGAAAUAUCUCAGCUUAACUGAGAGGGUGCCAUUGAUACUGGAGAGCUUGAGUACAGACGAGGUAGGCGGAAUUGACGGUGUAGCGGUGAAAUGCAUAGAUAUCGUCAAGAACACCGAUAGUGAAGACAGCUUACUAGGCUGUAACUGACGCUGAGGCACGAAAGUGUGGGGAUCAAACAGGAUUAGAUACCCUGGUAGUCCACACUGUAAACGUUGAUGACUCGAUGUUGGCGAUACACAGCCAGCGUCCAAGAGCAAUCGUUAAGUCAUCCACCUGGGGAGUACGCCGGCAACGGUGAA
rnacentral:rRNA from 1 species